ensembl:lncRNA
CCACAUGGACCUUCCCAAACACCUCAUCUGAAAGUGGCACAUGCCCCUGUUUCCCUCACUCCCUGUACCCCAGUCUUGCUUUGUUUUCUCCACCAGCUGAAUCAAUAUCUAUCCUAUGUUUUCCUUUUCGUUUCUUGCCAGUCCUCCCAGCCUCCAGUAAAACAUGAGGUUCAUGAAGACAGAGGCUUGUGUGGUUUUUAUCUCGUUGCUGUAGUCUCCAUAGAAGAUGUGCUCCACGUGUCCAGUGAAUGAACGGUUGACCCGUUCUGCACGUGUGGCUCCAGUUAUAAUUGAUUGAGCCAGGAAUGAGUCCCUAGUUCCGGGGCAGCUUCCCACUGCUGGGCCAAUGGCCUUGGAGGGGGUCUGGCAUGAGAGUCAUGCUGACAGGCUGACCCCAUCAGACUCCGCUGUGAGACACGGGGAGGGACACUACAGUAGGGUGAGACCGAAGCAAAGAGCCACAGAGACAAGGCCGCAGACGCUCAAGGCAGGGGAGUAACAGGAGUGGAGACAGGGAAGAGCUGCGUCACCGUCACGAUGGAGAAACCUCGAUUAUCGGGUCUGAUAAUCCCAGAGAAGGACUCGGGAAACGCCGGGUCAAUGGUCAUUUCUUCAGAGAGGGCUUCCCAAGUCAUCUGACCUACAGGAAUUAACAAACAGACUUGAAACAAUCAGCAAUUUGAGGUCUCUGGGCCCCUCAGCUCAGCUCAUCCGGAUGUCG